rnacentral:rRNA from 1 species
GAUGAACGCUGGCGGCGUGCCUAAUACAUGCAAGUCGAGCGAACAGACGAGGAGCUUGCUCCUCUGACGUUAGCGGCGGACGGGUGAGUAACACGUGGAUAACCUACCUAUAAGACUGGGAUAACUUCGGGAAACCGGAGCUAAUACCGGAUAAUAUAUUGAACCGCAUGGUUCAAUAGUGAAAGACGCUUUUGCUGUCACUUAUAGAUGGAUCCGCGCCGCAUUAGCUAGUUGGUAAGGUAACGGCUUACCAAGGCAACGAUGCGUAGCCGACCUGAGAGGGUGAUAGGCCACACUGGAACUGAGACACGGUCCAGACUCCUACGGGAGGCAGCAGUAGGGAAUCUUCCGCAGUGGGCGAAAGCCUGACGGAGCAACGCCGCGUGAGUGAUGAAGGUCUUCGGAUCUUAAAACUCUGUUAUUAGGGAAGAACAAAUGUGUAAGUAACUAUGCACGUCUUGACGGUACCUAAUCAGAAAGCCACGGCUAACUACGUG